rnacentral:rRNA from 1 species
AGCCUACGGGAGGCAGCAGUGGGGAAUAUUGCACAAUGGGGGAAACCCUGAUGCAGCGACGCCGCGUGAGUGAGGAAGUAUUUCGGUAUGUAAAGCUCUAUCAGCAGGGAAGAAAAUGACGGUACCUGACUAAGAAGCCCCGGCUAACUACGUGCCAGCAGCCGCGGUAAUACGUAGGGCGCGAGCGUUAUCCGGAUUUAUUGGGUGUAAAGGGUGCGUAGGCGGCUUCUUAAGUCUGUAGUCUAAGCUCGGUGCUUAACUCCGGUUCGCUACAGAAACUGGUUAGCUUGAGUAUGGUAGAGGCA